rnacentral:rRNA from 1 species
CCUACGGGAGGCAGCAGUGGGGAAUAUUGGACAAUGGGCGAAAGCCUGAUCCAGCAAUGCCGCGUGAGUGAUGAAGGCCUUAGGGUUGUAAAGCUCUUUUACCAGGGAUGAUAAUGACAGUACCUGGAGAAUAAGCUCCGGCUAACUCCGUGCCAGCAGCCGCGGUAAUACGGAGGGAGCUAGCGUUGUUCGGAAUUACUGGGCGUAAAGCGUGCGUAGGCGGUGAUUCAAGUCAGAGGUGAAAGCCUGGAGCUCAACUCCAGAACGGCCUUUGAAACUAGAUCGCUAGAAUUAUGGAGAGGUAAGUGGAAUUCCGAGUGUAGAGGUGAAAUUCGUAGAUAUUCGGAAGAACACCAGUGGCGAAGGCGACUUACUGGACAUAUAUUGACGCUGAGGUACGAAAGCGUGGGGAGCAAACAGGAUUAGAUACCCUGGUAGUCCACGCCGUAAACGAUGAUAACUAGCUGUUCGGGCUCUCAGAGCUUGAGUGGCGCAGCUACGACAUUAAGUUAUCCGUCCGUCGGGUAGGUACGGUCGCGAAGAAGUUAAACUACGAAAGAAGUUAGACGGACGNGAGACGUGACCGAACGGACGACGACGAGGGAGGAGG